ACAGCUCCUUACUGGGUCCAGAUGACCCCUCCUCCCUCCAGGCCCAGAAAUGGGAGCAGAUUCUCCUCUUGCUAGCUUCUGGAAAGCUUCCUGUCCCUCUCCUCCUCCCAUCAAUGUCACAUCUGCCGAACUGAGCCUUCCUGCACCAUUGGGGAUGAAGUGUCUCCAGUUGGAAUCUUGUCCCAUAUUCAGGCAACUCUGCUCUUGUGUGCCACUGUCCAGCUUUCUUGGGCUCUUUCCUCGUGGAAGAGGAUCUCCUUUCGAUGGCAGAAGUCUCUCUCUCCCGGUCUUUGCCUACAUCUUCAGCCAUCUCCUUGCAGAGGCUGCGAAUCUGACUUGUGCUGCUUGAGUAUCUACACAGGUUGGGAAGUUUCUUCUCGAUUCCCAGUGUGUUUCCUCCUCAAACCAUUUUCUCUGACGUUGCGUGACGUGUUCCUGACAUAGUCCAGGCAGAAUUCAAAGCUUCAGCUUCAGCCGCUGGAUCCCACUGUCAAGCUGUGAAUUUCCACACUACGAAGAAGCUUCCUCAGUUUGGAGUCUUGUCCUUUGUCCUGUAAGCUCUUCAUCCAUUUGUUUUUCUUCCAUGAUUGUCUGGCUGUUUCUUGACUUUUCUCUUCAGGACUUUGAAGGGACACAGUGAGGUCAGCAUCAUCAAUGAUACUCUUCAGGUCAACUCCUGACCGACGGACCGAGUGACCUCCAUCUUCUGCUUCCCUCUUUUGCUUGACCUCCCAGUUUCUGCAAUCUCUAAGGACAUCAGGGAAGGGGGAGAUCCUCUGCAGAUGUCAGCCAUGGACAUUAGCUGGCUGAGUUUCUCUUCCAGGACCUGCUCCGUUCCUGCAUUCAGCUACUCCAGCCUUCCUUUCUCUUCCUCCUUUUCCUGGACUCCCUCCUUCCAUCUCGAAAUUUCUUGUUUAGGCCGUUCUGGACUUUUGGGAAAAGAAGGAUUUUCAUUCAAAUCAUCCAUAUUUCCUCCUGAAGUUGUUCUCCAUCUGUCCCUGAUGCUUCGAAGAUGGAUUUUUCAUCAGUUGCUUGGAAAACUCUAAGAGCCUGGCUUUUCUCUGCCUUUUUCAGAAAGCUCACCUGGCUUCCUGCUCAGAGCAUUUUCAGGUGAAAAGAAAACCAGAGGGAGAAGUCCAGAGAGUUCACAUACAUGAAGGAUUAUUCGGGAAUCCAGGGGGAGAAACUCCAGCAGGGGCCCUGGACCACAGCCACCGUCUGAGAAAUAACACCUUGGGAGCCCUCCUGGUCACACACCCCCGGAGCCUCUGGGUGUCAUCCACACGGCAGCCCCGCAGCACCGUGAGCACACACACCUCCGCUCAUCUCCUCAGGCUGAGCUGACCCUGCUGGAAAUCGAACACUGCUCCUGCCAUCGAUCCACUCACGGGGACCCUGACCAGGCUCCCUUUGUGUGGAAUUUACAGAGGAUGCCGUUCAAGGGGAGCUCUGCCGUGCAGAGCAGAAGCACCUGGAGGGGAUGCUUCUCCCCUCUCCACCUUGGGGAGGGGACAGCGCUGUCACGAUGCCUGUGGGACUCCCGGGCUGGGCUCCGCUGCUCCCGUGACCUUCACAUGGUGCGCUGGGGCUCUGCUCUCCUGCUUCCCUGUCUCUCUGGCCUUAAGCUAGAGUGAACUCACUGAGCACGAGACUCCUUUUUCAAAAAAAAAGAAAAAGAAAAAAGAAAAAAAACAUCGAACUGAAAGGAGGGUUGUUUGCUCUCUGGCCCUCGAACACCAAGGCACUGUUGUGCUCCUUAAAAUUGUAAAUUAUGUCUGUUUAAGAAAAUGUCAGUGUUUUUUAAAACAGAAUAACAGUGCUGGAAAAGACUUGGCUGCGCUGUUUGUUACCAAAGUUUCAUGCAAGAAAAAUGAUGCAUUCAUCAUUGUGAGUGCAGCCGAGGGGCUCAGGAUGGGGCACAAUGUGGCUUCAGUUCUCUUAAGCAACACGAUGGAUUUUCUUUUUUUCUUCUCUCCCCGGCAAGUUAUCUGAGUAAUGUAAAAGCUCGUAAGCCCAGAUCCAGGGCGAUUUUGUCAAUAACGCUCUAUACUUAACAACAAUUAAAGCGUAAGACACAUCUCAUAUAAUUAAAUUGAUUUUUUUUUUUCCUGCCAGAAACAAGUCUUUUUCAGGUAAUGAUUGCUUUGGCUAUCUAAAAUUGUAUUUAUUGAGGUGCGGGCGUGGGGGAGGAAGAGAUCCGUGGUUACACUCAGACACCGCUGCUUGUGGCUUCAAAAUCCAAUUCUUAAACGGGCCAAUAGGAUGAUUUUUGAGUCCAGAAGGGUAAGUGGGUAUGGAUAAUCUGGGCCGUCAAGAUAGAAGCACUGUGUUGGGAAACAUAUUAUUUAGGGAUAUGGAAUUUCAGCCCUACAAGUGGCCUCUGAUGCAUAGGAAGGCAGGGAUAAAGGUGUUCCCAAAGGGACCAGGGCCUCCAGGUUUGCUGGGUUCGCUGGCCAGUGGGGACCCUGAGCCCAGCUCUUCAUUUCGUCCUGCAUUUCUGCAGUAUACUGCAAGCAUAAAAUGGCCACAUUUUUCUGUUUCUAAAAUAUGUUAAGGUCUGUAAAACAAGGGGCUUCACUUUUUCCAUUAAAAAUUGCCUUUUAAGGGUAAAUGGAACACCAUCCCCCCAAAAGCACAUAGCUCCUUUUUGACCCCUGGAUAACUCUACUAAAUUGAGGUAUUUACCUGAACUUUCCUUACUUGGCCUCCAAUCAUGUUAAACAGCUGUUGGAAUGAAUACAAAGGGACUUGCCUGACUUUCUAGUAAUAACCUUGGUUUUCUUUUUUUUUUUUUUUUUCCCCCUGGUGGCUUGAAAGCAUUAUUUAGUGAAUUGAGUUUUGCCUUUUCCAGCAAUGGGAGUGGCAGUUUUCCCAUUAAAUAUUACUGGG